CUAUUCUUCCUUCCCUCGGCUGCCCUUACAUUCUGGUGCCGAAAGCCCGGAAGGGGAUAGACUCUGGCCGGGACUCACUCUCUCCUCUCUCUCCCUCCCCAUCACCGCUCUCCUGGCCAUUCUCACCUUUCCCCAACCUGCCGAAGACCCAGAGAAUCUCCUAGGUUCUCCCUUUGCUGGCGACCUCAUCCACCAUCAAAACCUCCGCCAGGGUCCUGGCUGAGUCAUCAUCCAUCACAGCAGGCUGGUACAACAUCACAGUGGAGGACAAUUCUCUAGGGACCACAGAGGAUAUGAAUGUGACCUGGGUUAGCAAAGGCCUCCCCAAGAAGCUGGAGCAGAGUGGGGCACCAGGAUCAGCCCCCAAUCCCUGGACCUUGGCUGUGAGCCUGCCUGAGCCUGAGCCAGUGCAAUGCCGGUCUUCUGUAUGUGGUCAGAAACUUCAGACACCAGAAAACUGUCACCUUAGAUGUUGGAAGAGUCUGUUGAGCUUAACAAAUUGCCAGCAAGCCCCUACAGUUACAUUUCUGCAAAGCAAUGUUCUUCAGGUGGGGAAAUAAAGAACUUCCACCUCUAGCCAGAGAAGAAGCCCAGACCACAUGCGUAAGAGACUUUGCAUUUUGGCAACUGACUGACUCCACCUGGACUCAUGACUCAACUGGUCUUGUGGCCCCCAACCAAGAGCUGGGCUCAGCACAUGAGGAUGGUUUUCCACACCCCUAUGAUUGCAUCCCCAACCAAUCAGUAGCACUCAUUCCUGAGUCCCGUACCCACCAAACUAUCCUUGAAAAACCUUAACCUCCAAGCCCUCAGAGAGACUGACUUGAGUGAUAACUCCAUCUCCCAUCUGGCCUGCCUCACAUUAAUAAAACUCUGUCUCUGCUGCAA